AAAUCGAGCGACUCCUCUCCAUA
rnacentral:siRNA from 1 species